rnacentral:rRNA from 1 species
UACGUAGGGGGCAAGCGUUGUCCGGAAUCAUUGGGCGUAAAGCGCGUGUAGGCGGCUUGGUAAGUCCGCUCUGAAAGCCCGGGGCUCAACCCCGGGAGGCGGGUGGAUACUGUCAAGCUUGAGUCCGGAAGAGGCGAGUGGAAUUCCUGGUGUAGCGGUGAAAUGCGCAGAUAUCAGGAGGAACACCAAUGGCGAAGGCAGCUCGCUGGGACGUGACUGACGCUGAGACGCGAAAGCGUGGGGAGCAAACAGG